AUUGAACGCUGGCGGCAGGCCUAACACAUGCAAGUCGAACGAGUGGCGGACGGGUGAGUAAUGUCUGGGAAACUGCCUGAUGGAGGGGGAUAACUACUGGAAACGGUAGCUAAUACCGCAUACCAUCGGAUGUGCCCAGAUGGGAUUAGCUGGUAGGUGGGGUAGCGGCUCACCAAGGCGACGAUCCCUAGCUGGUCUGCGAGGAUGACAAGCCACACGGGAACGGAGACACGGUCCAGACUCCGACGGGAGGCAGCGGUGGGGAAUAUUGCAAAAUGGGCGCAAGCGUGAUGGAGCCAUGCCGCGUGUAUGAAGAAGGCCUUCGGGUUGUAAAGUACUUUCAGCGUGGAGGCGUUACCCGCAGAAGAAGCACCGGCUAACUCCGUGCCAGCAGCCGCGGUAAUAC
rnacentral:rRNA from 1 species